GAGUGCCAGCUCCUCCUCAUCUCUUCCAGGAAGCAGUGCAUCGAGCUGGAGCAGCAGUUUGACUUCUUGAAGGACCUGGUGGCAUCUGUUCCCGACAUGCAGGGGGACGGGGAAGACAACCACAUGGAUGGGGACAAGGGCGCCCGCAGGGGCCGGAAGCCAGGCAGCGGCGGCCGGAAGAACGGUGGGAUGGGAACGAAAAGCAAGGACAAGAAGCUGUCCGGGACAGACUCGGAGCAGGAGGAUGAAUCUGAGGACACAGAUACUGAUGGGGAAGAGGAGACAUCACAACCCCCACCCCAGGCCAGCCACCCCUCUGCCCACUUUCAGAGCCCCCCAACACCCUUCCUGCCCUUCGCCUCUACUCUGCCUUUGCCCCCAGCGCCCCCAGGCCCCUCAGCACCUGAUGAAGAGGACGAAGAAGAUUACGACUCCUAGCGCCUUCUGCCCCCC
rnacentral:sRNA from 1 species